rnacentral:rRNA from 1 species
CCCUAGUUCUGACCGUAAACGAUGCCAACUAGCGAUCCGCCGAUGGAGAUUAUAUUGCCUUGGUGGGGAGCUUCCCGGAAACGAAAGUCUUCCGGUUCCGGGGGAAGUAUGGUUGCAAAGCUGAAACUUAAAGGAAUUGACGGAAGGGCACCACCAGGAGUGGAGCCUGCGGCUUAAUUUGACUCAACACGGGGAAACUCACCCGGCCCGGACACUGUGAGGAUUGACAGAUUGAUAGCUUUUUCAUGAUUCAGUGGAUGGUGGUGCAUGGCCGUUCUUAGUUCGUGGAGUGAUUUGUCUGGUUUAUUCCGAUAACGAGCGAGACUCUAACCUACUAAAUAGCUGAUACAUAUUUUUGUGUAUUCGGCUUCUUAGAGGGAUUUGCGGUGUUCAGCCGAAAGAAAUUGAGCAAUAACAGGUCUGUGAUGCCCUUAGAUGUCCGGGGCUGCACGCGCGCUACACUGGCAAAAUCAACGUGCUUGUCCUGCCCCGAAAGGGGUGGGUAAACCAUUGAAAAUUUGCCGUGAUUGGGAUCGGAAAUUGCAAUUAUUUUCCGUGAACGAGGAAUUCCAAGUAAGUGCGAGUCAUCAGCUCGCGUUGAUUAC